AAGGCCCCUAUCCGCCAUUUUCUGGAACCAAAUAAGGGGAGCCAGAGAGCAAUUGGGAAGGAAGAACGGAGUGCUGGAAUUUCUGGGCAGCAGCAAUCGCACAGUGAGAGUGCGCUGGAAAUUUCAGAGGAGAGUGAGACUACAGUGAGUGCACAGCAGCAAGGAUUAAUUCACGCACAGCAAGGGAGUUUUAAUUUCACGCACAGUGUUUCUUUCGAUUCUGUUCAUUUAAUUGCUUUUAGUUCAUUUCCUGUUGGUUAAUUUCUAUAGUAGUAUUACGCUUUAAUUUCAGUAUUGUACUGUUUAGUAAUCUCAUUCUGCUUCUUUUAUUUUCUGUGGACAUUUAGAUUGUGUUAUUAAUUUCUGUUAUUCCUUUAUAAUUUACCGUCAUUAAUUUAUGUUUUUUAAAUUCUGCCUUUUAAUUUCUGCAAUUUAGUUUCAGUAUUUUAAUUUUAGCACUUUUAUUUUUGUAACUUUAAUUUCUUGUUAUUUAAUUUUUGUCAAUUAAUUUUUAAAUGGAGACAUAUAGCUAAGUAAGUAUUGGGCCGAGGCAAGGAUAGUGUUCGAUGCUAUGAAUAACCCAAACAAGCUGACUCCAUUGCUUAGUUGAGAUUUUAAAAUUAGAUUAAGAAUUUUUGGCAAAACAUUUAGAUUUGCAUUGAGGUAUAUGCUUAACUCGAAACUCUCGUGCCAAGUAUGUGAGUUGCCCAAAUUGAAAAUACUGUCAUACUAUACCCAAGUCUAAGUGUAAUAUAUUUGCAUUUUAAUUUAUGAUGGUUGCUCAAGUUAGAUCUUCUCAUGCCAUGUAUGGAAGAUGCUAGAAAUAGAACUAUCAUUAUCCCAAAGUGUAAUCAAUAGCAAAAUUCUAUAAUCUAAUUUUCAAAUCUGAUGAUACUAUAAUUUUGUGCUUGCUUGGGGAAUGAAUGGAUCGACAUUAAAAUUGUCUUGUCCCAAAACGUUUUAUUUUCAGUGUUAAUUCACUAUCUUAAUUUUUCCCGUAUCACACCACACUAUUUCACAAUUUACUUUCAUGCACUGUCUUUAUUUUUUUAUUUUAAUAAUUAACUUCCCUGUAGAUAUGACCUGGACUUACCAGUUUUAAAUUUUGUACUACAUAAACCUCGUAUUCUGGCAAGUGUGACCCCCUUGUGAGUGUGUCUUUAAGGUAGUUAAUUUUACGCAAAGCUAGGAGUCGAACUCAUCGUCGUCAUUCUCAACCAACGGCCAUCCCCAAAGAACCAUCAUGACCUGAAGGCUAUUUUGGAGCCUCUAGGCGAGCUUCCCGAUGGCCAAAGACAGCUAGCCAGCGACCACAAUACAUUCAAUCGGUUUCACAUCUAUUUUUGGUUUUUUUCACUUUCACCCCCUAACUAAUUUUCAACUAUAGUUUACCCCUUUCCUUAACACCCCUCAACUUUUCAUUAGUUCCACUAUGGCCUACAAGUUCCCAACUCUUCAUUCCACCCUAGAGUUUCUAGGAAAUUUGUCUUUUCGACCUCCAUCAAGCAGUUUCUGAAUUUUACACUUUGGCUUGGGUAUGUGAAAAUCGCAUUUUUGGUCCUCAUUUCGCGAAUCUUCUUUUGUUUUUGAUAAAUCCUAUUUCCUUGGACAUUUCUAUGCCCCAAGUUUCAUUCUUGUUGCUGUCAUUUCACCAUCUUUGCCAAGUUUUGUAAUUUACACGUUGGCCCUCAGUGUAUGGAAAAUUGCAUUUUGACCCGCAAAUUUCUACAAAUUCUAUCGUACCUUUAAUAUAAAUUCCUAGGUAUUACACUUUUGGUCAUUUUCUAUUUCUCUUAUUCUUUCCCAUUUUCUUUAUUCUCCCUAUUUAGGGAAUUCCUAUUUUUAUCUUUACCUUUUUCCUACACCAUAUAUACAAGGUAAGCCUCUUUGGGCUUUUUCCAUUUCUUUUGUUUUUCCUUUACCUUAAUCAACCCCCAUGAUACACACACACACACAUAUACAUAUAUAUAUAUAUAUAAUCCAAUUAACCAUUUAAUUAAUCAAGUAUUAUGCACCCAUAUAUGCAUAUAUAUUAUAUUCUCAUUUAUGUGGGCUAAUCAAAUUUAAUUUUCCUUACAUUUAUUUCUCAUAAAAAUAUUUUCCCUUAAUUUUCCCCUCUUUAACAACACAUAAAUUAUUUCCAACAAAUAAUUAAUAAAGGAAAAAAUUUCUAAUGCCCAAAAUAAAAUACCGAUAACUCCUAGACCCACUAACGGGUCGUUACACUAUAUAAUGUUGCAUUUGGUAUCGACAUCGUGUGCCCAAUGCGUUGCAGGAAACAACAAGUCAGAUGUUGACUUGUUGGGUAGGGAGGUUAACUUUCUUUUGUGGGAGUCAACUCCCAAUGGCUGUAGAAGUGGACUCCUACAUCGCCUUGGCCAACGGUAGUGCUGUCCAUGUGGCGGCCAAUUGGGAAGGCUAGGGUGAGGCAACAAUUCAAUUUGGGAUGUGAGUAUAUAAGGAAAAUUACAAAGAGAAGAUGAAGACUUAUGAAUGCUUGCUCCUCUAUAAUUUCUAUUCCUCUGUCUUCUUUCGCUUUUGUUAAAAAAUGUUGUUAUGUGGUUGUCAUGCUAUAAUUUUGAGACACAAGUGUUGGUGAUUCGAGCAGCCUCUGGUCUAGCACGAAAAGAGGUGACCAGAACAAUAUCGGAUAGCAAGCUAAGUGCGAAUAACCUAGGACCACCACAACGUGAGGUGGCAUCUGGUCUCAGUACAGAAAGCAUUUCUAUACCCCAACCUAACAUUCAUUUCAGCUAAAAUAGUGAGCACAACCUUCAUCUAAGGAAAGAACAAACGAAGACCUACGGAGGAUGAGGGUGUCACUGCUCCCAAGAAGGGAAAAGCUACCUUGAAUCCCUCUCCGGCCGAGAAAGGGAAAUCUAGCCGCCCUAGGAAGAAGAAAACUUCUCAAUCUUCGAGACAACUCAUCCCAUAACCCGAUUCUCCUCCACACUAUUCAGACCAUGUUCCUGACUGGGGAGUGAAGGAAAACGACCUCAUUCGGAAUAGUCAGGUAGUGAGACGAAUGAUUCACCAUUUCGCCACCCCACCCGAUCGUCAAGUGUUGGUUGAACAGUCUUCAGAGGCAGUAAAAGCCACUUUGUGCAAGCAUUUGGCCCAAGUGGUCAUGUUUGUUUCAGACUUCUUUGGACGCUUUGUCGAAGCUUCCAAGAAGAACUUGGAACUAGACACACAAUUGCAUGAGAGGGACAAGUUAGUAGAGAGCCAGAGGAAGAACCUGGAUGAGUUGACCUCCAAGCAACAGUCUUUGGGCCUACGCAUUCAGGAGCUCAAGGAAGAGCUAUCCCGGGCUAACUUAGAGUUAUCCCAAGUGAACUCACUCAUUUGUAGGUACAAACGCAAAUAUGCCAAGCCCACCAAACUUCCUGAGAUGGAGGAGUUCAUCCAACAGAACUUAUAAGAGGCUUGGACGAAGGGAUUUCAAGCCCAUGGGACUAAGGUGUUAUAAGCUCAUCCAGACUUAGACAUGUCCAAUGUUUGAUCUGUUGAAGAAAUUGUGGCUGAGUUGGAGGACUCAGAGAUGGCCGCCGACAAUGACGUUUCUCCUGAUGCUUGAGUUGUUUUUUCUAUUUUUCUAGCUAGGACUUUUUGUACCUCUUCCAUCAUCAUGUAUUAGACUAUUUCAUAAUGCCAUUCUAU